AAAUGAAUGUAAAAAAUUUGUUCUGAACUUAUUAUUAUCAUCAUUGUGGAUCUGUAAUUUGAGCCAAGCCAAACUACACUAAAUAGCCUCACUUUUUUCUUCAUGUAAAAUAGUUUACGGAUUAACUUUUGUGUAAGUUUUUGCAGCCAUUUUGGUCUAAAUUCAUUCUUGUGUCAAAUUUCCAGGUUGAUAUGGAUACUGAAGAU
rnacentral:misc_RNA from 1 species